UGAGGGCUGGUGGUAGUGAGUAGGGUGAACAUUGGGAUUGGCCCUUAGUCUCACACAGAUAAUGCAGCUUUAUGGAUAUUAGUGAUAGUAGAGUUGGAACAAUGUUUUUUUUUAAAUGAUUUUUAAAGGAGCAUUCUGUAGCUUUUAAUCAGAAGAGCAAUAUUUUCAGUGACUGAACAAACUUGGUAAAUACACUCUCACUAAAUGAACAAACUGACUGAUACUGUUUCACUAUGUUUACAUGUGGGGGACCCUGCCACCUUUCUAGCUUCAAACAGCAUUGGACUGUAAAAAAUGUUAAGCUCAAUAAGUUAUCAUAACUUUAUCAAAUCAUGAAAUUUUAACUUAAUUUGAUGAGUUAUUGGUAUUCCAACUCAAGGUUUUAAGUCAGUUAAGUGAAAUGGAAAUUUUGAUGUGUCAACAUAACUUAACAGUAUGUGUUUUCGGUGUUAACCGGAUCUCUUAGAAACUGACCAUGACCGUGGUGUGACAGCAAUAUUAAUGCGCCGUAAAAAUAGCGCUUGUUAAAAUUUCAUCUUGAUCUGAUAAGGGACUAAUAAUUUUGAUAUAAUGAUUUUAAAACUUGAGCAGGCGCUCCACCCGGUUCCGGCUGCCUAUUAACAGAAGAAGAGGUACACUAGCUGAGCAGAUUGAGAAAGGUGAAAAGAGGAACGACGGAUGACUGUGGUUUGUUAGCAAGGAUCAAGUCUGGGGCAGUACGGUGCAUCAUUUGGACAAAGGGCAGCCAAAGCACAGGCGGGAAACGAAAUUGAACAAAGAAGUAAGAUUGUGGCAGAGUUUAGGAGGGUGACCACCUUGGACCUCCUGGAAUCUUUCCUCGAAGGACUUGAUGGUCUUGUCCCAAGACUGCUGGAGGCUUACAAAGCAGCAGCAAAGUAUGGAAAAAAGCAGUCACUUCAAAAUAUUUUGGACUGCCUUGUGAGAGAUGACACAAAUGAGAGAAGGAGGGCUGCUGCUCUGCUUGGUCUGCCAUUGUACAUAACAGUCCCAUGCUGACAAUCUGGAUGAAGCGAUGAAGGGGAUGCAGCUCGGUAUCCUCAUUGGCUAUGAAGGUGAACGGCGGGCCAGACCCAAUGAGAUCUUUAAUGUGGCAGACUAUUCAACGUUCACAACAUCAAAGAUGCGGCACAUGGCUUUGCAAUGCUUAUGGGCGUCAUCUACAGUGUUAAUCUGGAGUAUCCUAAUGCCAUGAAAUAUUCCUUCGAGUUUCUGCAGAGAGUGGUUAUGAGGAUCAAACCAGACAAGGCCUCAGCCUGAGUACACGGUUUGAGAAACCGAAUCUUGAGAUUUCAAUUGUUCUGUGUUCUGAGACAUUUUAAAAAAAAAAAAAAUAUUUUAUAACACACUUUAGGAUGAAGGAAGA